GAUGAAGAACGUAGCGAAAUGCGAUAAGUAAUGUGAAUUGCAGAAUUCAGUGAAUCAUCGAAUCUUUGAACGCACAUUGCGCCCGCCAGUAUUCUGGCGGGCAUGCCUGUUCGAGCGUCAUUACAACCCUCAGGCCCCCGGGCCUGGCGUUGGGGAUCGGCGGAGCCCCCCGUGGGCACACGCCGUCCCCCAAAUACAGUGGCGGUCCCGCCGCAGCUUCCAUCGCGUAGUAGCUAACACCUCGCGACUGGAGAGCGGCGAGGCCACGCCGUAAAACACCCAACUCUUCUGAAGUUGACCUCGAAUCAGGUAGGAAUACCCGCUGAACUUAAGCAUAUCAAUAAGCGGAGGA
rnacentral:misc_RNA from 1 species